rnacentral:rRNA from 1 species
CCCUUAGAUGUUCUGGGCCGCACGCGCGCUACACUGAUGCAUUCAACGAGUCUAAAACCUGGUCUGAUGGGGCUGGGUAAUCUUUUGAAUGUGCAUCGUGAUUGGGAUAGAUGAUUGCAAUUCUUCAUCUUCAACGAGGAAUGCCUAGUAAACGCAAGUCAUCAGCUUGCAUUGAUUACGUCCCUGCCCUUUGUACACACCGCCCGUCGCUCCUACCGAUUGAAUGUUCCGAUGAAUACCAUGGACUGAGAGUAUGAAUGGGUUCGCCUAUUUCUGCUUCUCGGGAAGUGGAGUAAAUCUUAACAUUUAGAGGAAGGAGAAGUCGUAACA